GUUUGAUUUAGGAUUAGGGUUUGGUUUUGGAUUUAGGAUUAAUGUUAAGAUUUGGUUAGGAUUUGAUUUAGGAUUAAGGUUAAGAUUUGGUUAGGAUUUGAUUUAGGAUUAGGAUUCGGUUAAGCUUUGAUUUAGGAUUUAGGAUUUUAUUAGGAUUUGAUUUAGGAUUAGGAUUUGAUUUAAGGUUUAGGGUUUAGUUAGGGUUUGAUUUAGGAUUAGGAUUUGAUUAAGAUUUAGUUUAGGAUUUAGGAUUUGGUUAGGAUUUGAUUAGGAUUUGGUUUAAGUUUUAGAGUUUGAUUUAAGAUUGGUUAGGAUUUGAUUUAAGAUUAGGGUUUGAUUAGAAUUUGAUUUAGAAUUAGGAUUUGAUUUAGGAUUUAGGAUUUGGUUAGGAUUUGAUUUAUGAUUAGGGUUUGAUUUAGAGUUUAGGAUUUGAUUAGGAUUUAAGAUUUGGUUUAGGAUUUAGGAUUUAGGAUUUGCUUUAAGAUUUAAGAUUUGGUUAGGGUUUGAUCAAGAUUUGAUUUAAGAUUUAAGGUUUUAUUUGAGUUUAUUUAGGAUGUAAGAUUUAGUUAGUUUUUGGCCUAAAUUUUGAAUGAAGUCCAAUGAUAUUUCAACUAGGAUUAAAUUAAGAUUGAAUUGAGAUGUAUUUGAGAUAUGUUUGUAAUCAUUGCAAUAUUUCUUUAAGAUUUCUUAUUGUUUCUUUGGAAUUCCUUAGAGGUUUCUCUAAAUUUGAUUAAAUUUUAUUUAGAAUUGUUAGUGUUCUAUUAGAAUUAGGAUUUUGUUGUUGCAAUUUUCAUUCUACCUUCCACAUUCAAGUAUCCGAAGCAUUCUCAAGUAAGACUUUAUGUAUUAUGACACCGUGAUCCUAUGACCUUAAAGAAAUUUUUUAUCAAUGAACCCAAUUAACAUAUAUUCUAU
rnacentral:lncRNA from 1 species